UUGACCUCGGAUCAGGUGGGGAUACCCGCUGAACUUAAGCAUAUCAAUAAGCGGAGGAA
rnacentral:rRNA from 1 species